CCUGGCCCUCCUCUACUUGUACAGAGUGAAAAGAAAACAAGGUGGUGCCUCAGCAAAGAUGGUCAGGGUGAUCCAUCAGACGCCCGACUACGAGGACGACGAGCUGAAGACGGAGGACCUGAGAGAGACCGCCGACCAGACCUCCGACUCCUCCUCCCGGGGAUCCACCCAAUGGUGUCAGGUCCAGGUGUACGAAUCGCUGGAUUACCUGGCUCUUCCCACCAAAGACAACGGCUAAGCACCAGCUCCUGGGCUCAAUCAGUCCGUUUUUACUGUUGCAUGGUUUUCUAUGUAUGCUUCUUUCUACUACAUCUUCUGUGCCAAUGUAUUUU
ensembl:lncRNA